AUGGGCCUUCAGGUUGAUUGAGAGAAUCAGCCCCAGAAUGAUCGCCAGCAUAAAACCAUCUAUGAAAAAUAUACUGUAGUUCCAGCUACUCAGAAGGCUGCGGCAGAAGGACUGAGACCAGGAGCUGGAGGCUGUAGUGCACUAUGAUCAGGCCUGUGAAUAGACACUGCACUCUAGCUGGGCAACAUGCUCACAGUGUCAAACCUGUUGGAGCCUGGAAGCAGCUGCCCAAACUCAGAAAGAAUGAAGGGAAAUAAGAAAAAGGGAAAACUGAAGUUAGGAGGAGAUUCAACGUAUCAAAGUAUCGUUUUAUGUUUUUGAGUCCAGCCAGGUCUGGCAUUUGGGUUUAGUGGCCAGAGCUUGGGAUUAUUUCGGCUCCUUAUGCCCUGUUCUUCUGGAUCCACUUAACUAAAGGU
rnacentral:sRNA from 1 species